UUGCCAGCGGACAGAGCGUAGCGGUGAAAGCGCGGCUUUGGCUUCGAAAAAGCCGAGUAUUUUAAAUCGUUGAAGAACUAACGGAUUAAUAAGUUUACAGUUUUUCGUAAUUUUAUCUAAGCUUUUUUUUUGGCACGUGUUAAAGUGAAAUAAAUCAGUGUGUGGCGGCGAAGCGAACAAUAGACACGUGCAAUUACAGAACAGAAGAGAACAAUAAGGAAAGGAAUCUAAAGUAAAAGUAAAUUGUGUUAAAGUGAAAUAAAUAAGUGUGUGGCGGCGAAGCGAACAAUAAACACGUGCAAGUACAGAACAGAAGAGAACGAAAAGGAAAGGAAUCUGAAGUAAAAGUAAAUUGUGUUAAAGUGAAAUAAAUAAGUGUGUGGCGGCGAAGCGAACAAUAAACACGUGCAAGUACAGAACAGAAGAGAACGAAAAGGAAAGGAAUCAGAAAUAAAAGUAAAGUGCCGGACUCUCAAAGAUGCAGACGAAUGUGCAAAUCGACUCGAAGAAUCUAAGGAGCAACGAUGACAAUUUCCGCUCCCGCGGCCAUCACAUCACC